rnacentral:rRNA from 1 species
GAAAAGAACUUUGAAAAGAGAGUAAAAUAGUACGUGAAAUUGUUGAAAGGGAAACGAUUGAAGUCAGUCGUACCGACGAGAAAUCAGCUUUUCGAGUGCGAACUUGUGGGCGUGCGUGAGUCUUUAACGGGCCUCGCUGUUUGCAAUUUUGUGCUUUUUGAGUGUACUUUUUCGUAUGGUAGGCCAACGUCAGUUUUGAUCACCGUAAAAUGAUCGGAGGAAUGAGCUUCGAUA